UCGAGAAUCUUCGGCAAUGGACGAAAGUCUGACCGAGCGAUGCCGCGUGCGGGAUGAAGGCCCUCGGGUUGUAAACCGCUGUCAGUUGGGAGGAAGUGCCGAUGAAGAAUCGGCAUUGACCUAUCUUCAGAGGAAGUCCGGGCUAAGUUCGUGCCAGCAGCCGCGGUAACACGAACCGGACAAACGUUAUUCGGAAUUAUUGGGCUUAAAGGGUGCGUAGGCGGUGCUGUAAGUCGGGUGUGAAAGCCCACGGCUCAACCGUGGAAUUGCGCCCGAUACUGCAGUGCUAGAGGGAGACAGGGGUAAGCGGAACUGAUGGUGGAGCGGUGAAAUGCGUUGAUAUCAUCAGGAACACCAGUGGCGAAAGCGGCUUACUGGGUCUCUUCUGACGCUGAGGCACGAAAGCUAGGGUAGCGAACGGGAUUAGAUACCCCCGUAGUCC
rnacentral:rRNA from 1 species